rnacentral:lncRNA from 1 species
GCGGGUUGGCAAGAGUGUACACCUUCAACACAAGAGAUGUUCAUCCUGAUCCAUGCCAAAGACCUGUCACUUUCUUCAUGGAACAUGUUUCUUCUUCUCCUGGUGAUGGAACUAUUAAAAGUGUGUAUAAGCAAGCUUACCAGAAUUGCACGUACGAUCCCAUUUCAUCUCCUCGAAAAAUCGAAGAGGUUAGAGUGUUUUCAACAAGGUUGGAUCCGGAUAUCAGACAAGUAAGUCAAUCUACUUUUUCUUAGUUUUGUGAAUUUGGUUUUGGAUUAAAGAUAGUGUGUUUCUAUGUGGAUAAUAGGAUAAAUAAUGAAGUUUUAUCAUCAGUGAAAAUCAUUUGCUAGAUUAGUAGUGAUUUGUUGAAAUGUCUAUUACUGAAAUUCUCCCUAGAAAUACUUAUCCCUUUUACUCUAGAAUUAGGUGCCAACAAAACUAGGAAUGUCACAUAUUAUUUACAAGAAGUGCAAGAUAAAUGCCCGGAAAAAAAGUUUUUUUUUCCUAAUAGAUAAAUGCUUGAAAAUACAUUAAGAUGUUUCAAUUUGCAAGAAAACUUUAAUAUAAUUCAUAUAAGUUUGACAUCAGUUCGCAUAUUUAUAUGUAACUUAAGUUGUUGGUAAAAAAAUUCAAAAAAUCCAUUUCAAUAUUGAUCUGGAAUGAACUUUGAGAAUUAAGCUUAAAAUAAUACUGAAAUUUAAAUGAGUAAAACUGAAAUAUUCAAAAUAGAUAUAUUUUAAAUUUUAUAAUCACACCAUAAAAAUACUAUUUCGUAAAAGUGUUACCUUUUUCUUUUUAUGUUAAGCUUAUUGAUCUUAACUAACCUUUUCUGGAUGUGGUAGUUGAAGGCUCCGAGAAGACAGUGUUGUGAUAUAUUACCAACUUCUUCCAAUGGUGGAAAAGUAUUGGAAAUUAGAAUUCGAGAGUGCAAAGAGGAUGAGUUCAUCUAUAUACAUCCCUAGUAGCAACGUAACUAAUACGCUAUUAAUAACCUCUUUUUGUUUGUUACAUUUGCUAUCCAAAUUUAACAUAUGUCGUUGCCAUAUAGGUUUAGUUAUUCUUCUUUUUUUUUGGUAAGAAGUUAUUCUUCAUUUUUGUAUACUAUAUAGUACUUAUUAAACCGUGACUCAGCUUGUUGCUUUUCAACUUUUGAGAUUUGUAGUUAACCUUUUUUGAUUAUUCAUCGGCCGUAACAAUAUGCUAAAAUAUUUUUUUGUAUGGAUAAUCUUUGAGUGUGCAACAAUAAAUUAAAGUAUGAUGGUAAAUAUAUAGGGUCAGUGGGCAGUGGUCAAAACUUAUAGGUCUUUACAAAGAAUGGUAGAGAAAGAGAUUUGAAUGGUAGGACAAGAUUCAGUGAAGAAAACAUUUCGACAAAUAAAUUAUAGAAUAUUCAUCUAAAGUGUGGCUAACAAAUUAUAGAAUCAGUGAAGAAAACAUUUCGAUAAUGCUUUGUCUUUAUCCUGUUUCCUCAUGCUUUGUCUUCUUCCUGCUUUUGUUGAUCACAUUCAGAGCAACGCUUAUCAUUGUUUUAUUAAAAUGAAGAUUCUUGUGAAAUUGGGAGCCAUAUGAUUAAUUUUACAGACAAUGAUUAGCUGUGAUUUUCCCAAGAGAAAUACUGUAAAUAGAACACAUUAACAAUCGAAUAAAACAAGGGAAAGAAAGUGUUGUUUUACAAAGGGUAGCUAGUUUUUAUAAUCUCAUUUAGUAUUUUAACUAGGAAAAUACGAAAAGAUAACCCCUUGUUUUAGAAAAAUACAGCCACUACCAAUCACAUCCGUAAUAUCCGAAUGAAUGGCAAAUAUUUUUAAAGUUUUAUAUCUAAACACUAACUAACCACCUUUUUUGCAGAGUCAUGUCAUUCCAAAUUUUUCUUUCAAGAAGUUCUUUUUUUUUUUUGAACAAAUCUUUCAAGAAGUUCUUUAGUCAUUUUUUCACGAAACAAAGUUCAACUAUUUCGUGUCGAAAAAUAUAUAAAUAUUCCAUAUGGUUCGGAUCUUGUGACACUGCACAUGUUGAAGGCAGCAGAAUUUACGUUACCAAACGUUGCAUGUUUCGUCGCUUAUCGAUAUUUUAAUGUAUAAUCUUAUAUGAUAACAAGAAAGCAUUUUAAAAACAAAGAAAAACAGCACAGUUCAGUUGAACUAGUUCGAUCUGUAAUCUUAAUAUUUUCACCCCAAAUAAAAUUAAGAACGAGAUCUACUUGCACAUUUACUGAACAUCUAUAUAAUUUAAUUUUGUCAACGAAUACCUAAUAAUUUAAUAUAUCAUCAUCAAUCUAACCGAAAAAAAACAUCUUCAUUACCGUAAAAAAAGGCAUGUAAUUAGAUUUAUUGAGACCAGAAAUGAUAUAGGUUGAGUCAGUAAUUCAUUAAGAUGUAUACUACUUCAAAUUGAGAAAUUGUUAAGUCGAUAAACAGAACAAGUAACUAGAGUACGUACGACUCCAAAACGACUCCACACUCAAAUUAAAAUUCCUAUAUUAAGUAAAAACAGAAAAAAUAGAGACAACAAUUAAGCCUUCUUUGUCUCUACGCCUUAUUAGCUUACGUGCCGAAUCACAACUAGUUAGGCCACAUUUAUUCCAUACAUUGAUAAGAACCAUUUGUAUCUAUCUUAUUAAAACUCAAGUACAAAAUCAGAUUGUUUGGCAAUAUGGAUAGUAGUUUAAAAAAUAGUACUGUUUGGAAACAUGAAUAGUAGUAAGUUAGAAAAAAAAUAAUGGGCUUAUGCUACUAAAAAAAUUGAAAGUCCAUUACAUUAUAUUAAAAAGUAAUGGGUCUAUGUUACUUAAUAUAUAUAUUCAAAUCAAAAUAAUAAUUUAAUUAAAAUUGAUUUAUAUCAAAAAUUCAUUAAAAAUAUACAUAUAUUCAAAAUUUGAUUUUUACUAACAUAUUUUCCAGUAACUAUUAUAAAAAUGUUUUCAAUAUAUAAUAAAAAUACAAUACAAAGCCCAAUUUCAAACACCAACUUAAAUUAUGGUUUUUAUAUUUCACAUUAAAUUUUUAAAAUAUAAUAUAUGUGAUUAUUUAUAUGAUUGUACGUAUAAAAUAUUAUUAAUUAUAAGAAAAUUUAUUUGAUGGUACGUAUAAAAUACGAUUAAUUAUUGGAUAACACAUAUUUUGUAACCUUUGAUAACACAUAUAUGGAUAUAUAUAAUAGUGAUUAUGGGUGGGCGUUCGGGUUCGUUUUCGGGUUUUUUUGGGAUUUCGUGUUCAGUUCAUAUCUUUGAGGAUUUGGUUCUGAUUUGAAUAACCAAUUUAAAUAGGUUUAGUUUAAAUAUUUGGAUAGAGAAUUAAUAAUUACUUAAGUAUUUUUGGAGUUUUGAGUAUUUUUAACUAUUUAAGAUAUUUACGUUUAAUUAUUUGUAUAUAUUUUCAAGCAUUUAUGCGAACUUAAAAGUAUCAUAUAUAUCCUGGAUGUUUUUAUAUAUAUUAAAAAUAAUUCGAUUCUGAUCGGAUUAGGUUUCAAUUCUUCAAAUACCAAAAUUUUGAAUAAUUUGGAUAUUUAAUCAAUUCUGGUUCGGAUUUAGUACUACUUAUUUGGAUUGGGAUCGGUUCGAUUCUUCGAAUUCGAGUUUUUUGCCCAACCCUAAAUAGUGACAUAAAAAGCAAAUAGCAUCAUAUUUUCUUUUAAAAUACACCCGCACGGGCGUGCGGGUCAAAAUCUAGUAUCCAUUAAGAGUCCAGUGUCGCGUAUAGCCACCGUGACCACCAUUUUAAUAUAGCCACCUUCGUACCAUAACUCAUUUUGAGAUCUUUCCUUCUAUUUAUUUAUAUAUAAAGGCAAUAGACCAAAAUUUAUCAUUCUUCAGAUUUUUUUUUUCUCUUUCGACCCCUAUGGAGAUGUGUCUCUUUCAACGCACAUCGAAAACUCAUUCUUCAUCUUCUUCUUCAACUAUCUCGAGCCGUAUGAUAAAUUGCGUACUACUUUCUGUUUUUGCUUCCUUUGUCUACCUUCUCGUCUCGUUAUCUAGGUUUCAAUCUAAAGACACUAUCGAUGCCUACUUCUUAUCUUCUCAAGAUCAAUCUCAGAGCCCAACAGAGAUCGAUCACAUAGUCUUUGGGAUCGGAUCGAGCAUUAAGUCGUGGCCUGCACGUAGAGAGUAUGUUAAGCUUUGGUGGGAUGCUCAGAGAAUGAGAGGAUGCGUCUUUGUUGACCGUCCCUUGACGUCUUUGGUGAACGACACAGAUUCUCAUCUCCUUCCUCCGAUUUGUGUUUCCGAAGAUACAUCACGGUUCAGGUAACUAAGAAAACCAUUAGUUUUUUACAAAAAAAAAAAAAAAAAAAACCAUUAGUAUCAUCAUUUUUUGAAAGCAUGUACAAUUCAUACCUUUUUAUAUUAUUUAAGGUCUUUAUUCCCGUCGUGACACCAAUACUACCAAUACCUUCUAAAACAUUUCAUUUAAUUUCAUUGCAUUCAUGAUAUUUUAUUUUCCGUAAUUUUCAUCAAUAGAUAUUCUAUUAGCUAGUAAAAACUAAAAAUCAUAUAAAAUAGCAUUAAUUUAAAUUCACUGUAUUUCAAAAAGACGUAUUAAUUAAUUAUAUAUAUAUAUAUCUAAAGUUAUUGUUUAAACUAAAUAAAUACAAGACGACAAAAAAAAAAAAAACUAAAUAAAUACAAAACUCAACUUGAUUAGAGAGUCAAAUCAAAUUUUCUAAUCCCUACCUAAAUGUUAUUGCGUUUGCGCCUAUAUCUAGGCAUGCUAAAAAUUAAUGAGAAAUUCUCAAAAUUAUAUUUUUUUUUUCUGAAAUUUACAAGUAUAAUUUUUAUCCUCUGUAAAACGUCGGGUUUAGUUUUUUUUUUAAUGUGUGUAAGGUUCAAGUCUCUUUACCAUUCAAGAACUCUUCAUAAACCCUUUUCAAGAACUCUUCAUAAACCCUUUUCGUCUGUAAAAGAAAAUAUUUUUGUUAAGCUUGUUUUUUUUUAAAUAAACAUCGAUGGCUUUUAUGUUUAACAAAACUUUAAAAUAUACAAUUAAUAAAUUAAUAUUCCGAUUUUAUUCCCCUGAUUCUAACUUUCUAAACAGAGUAUAGCUAUAUUAUUGAACUACUGAUUAUUGUAAAACAGAUACACUUGGAGAAAAGGAGAUAAAAACGCGAUUAGGAUCGCGCGGUGCGUGUUAGAAACCGUAAGGAUGUUUAAUACUUCCUCAGAGGAAGUAAGAUGGUACGUAUUUGGAGACGACGACACAAUAUUCAUCCAUGAAAACCUAGCAAAAACGCUCUCCAAAUACGACCACACAUCAUGGUAUUACAUUGGAGCAAGCUCAGAGAUUUAUCACCAGAACUCAUUAUUCGGACACGACAUGGCAUUUGGUGGUGGAGGAAUCGCUAUAAGCAGCUCGUUGGCUAACGUUUUAGCCAAAAAUUUCGAUUCAUGUAUCGAAAGGUAUCCACAUUUGUACGGAGGAGACUCUAGGGUUCAUGCUUGUAUGCUUGAACUUGGAGUUGGAUUGUCUCAUGAGCCUGGCUUCCAUCAGGUUUUCUAAAAAAAAUUAAAAUUAAAUAGUAAUUAUUUUUGCAUAAUAUUGAUUAAUUUUUGCAUAAUAGUAAUGUAUCCGUUUUUUAUGUAUAUAAUAAUCAGUUUGAUGUGAGAGGAAAUGCAUUGGGAAUACUGACAUCACAUUCAACGAGACCGUUGGUGUCUCUACACCACAUGGCCCACAUUGAUCCCAUUUUCCCAAACUCAACCACUUUCUCCGCCGUCCGCCAUCUCUUCUCCGCCGUGGAACUUGAUCCUCUCCGUAUAUUUCAACUAUCCGUUUGCUACGACCGUUGGCACUCUUGGACCAUCUCUGUCUCCUGGGGCUAUGCUGUUCAGGUUAAUAUCGUUUUGCCCUAAAUAUAUACAUGAGUUUGCAUGACAUGUAGUAUAACUUAAGAUUACUAAAUCAAAUUAUAUUUGUUACCCUCUAAUGUUAGAUUGAGACUAGGCAUUUAUUUCUGCGGGAUGUUUUGAGAACACAAAAAACGUUUCGACCAUGGAAAAAUUCUGGCGGUUUGGCAAGUGUGUACACAUUCAACACAAGAGAUGUUCAUCCUGAUCCAUGCCAACGACCUGUCACCUUCUUCAUGGAACAUGUUUCUUCGUCUCCCAGUGAUGGAACUAUUAAAAGUGUAUAUAAGCAAGCUUACCAGAAUUGCACGUACGAUCCCAUUUCAUCUCCUCGAAAAAUCGAAGAGGUUAGAGUGUUUUCA